AACGAACGCUGGCGGCAUGCCUAACACAUGCAAGUCGAACGAGACCUUCGGGUCUAGUGGCGCACGGGUGCGUAACGCGUGGGAACCUGCCCUUAGGUUCGGAAUAACUCCCCGAAAGGGGUGCUAAUACCGGAUAAUGUCUUCGGACCAAAGAUUUAUCGCCUUUGGAUGGGCCCGCGUUGGAUUAGCUAGUUGGUAGGGUAAAAGCCUACCAAGGCGACGAUCCAUAGCUGGUCUGAGAGGAUGAUCAGCCACACUGGGACUGAGACACGGCCCAGACUCCUACGGGAGGCAGCAGUGGGGAAUAUUGGACAAUGGGCGAAAGCCUGAUCCAGCAAUGCCGCGUGAGUGAUGAAGCCCUUAGGGUUGUAAAGCUCUUUUACCCGGGAUGAUAAUGACAGUACCGGGAGAAUAAGCUCCGGCUAACUCCGU
rnacentral:rRNA from 1 species